rnacentral:misc_RNA from 1 species
AUUCAUUAUGGAUACUUAAUUUUAUGAGUCAAGGCAGUGCGCUGUCUAAGAAUACUAUAUGGCCAUUGUUAAAAUAUGUCAAAGUAUGUAUUUUAAGGUCUAGGCCAAGUCCCCCAGCUAGUGAAUUUACAUAUCUAUCCCCACAAAAACCCAAUAAACGACUAUGCACAACACAAAAAACACUUGGAAACAAAUUUCUAUUCCAGGACAUCCCCCAUUGAGGGAAAGCGAGUCAAAUGCUGAACAAAAAGCUAUUAAGGGUAAAAGGCAAAGCACUUUGUGGUGCUUAAUCCACAAAUGAUCA